UAGGUUCGACGACGUCACCGUCUAAUGCGGUAGGCGAACGUACGACUCGGUACAACUAACGAAGAGAAAACCAGGGAACAGUAAACGAACGAGAUACUAAGCAACAACAUUUUCUUAACGUAAGAAAAAAAAAACAUCCAACCCGAGAGGACAAGAAAAAACAACCGAACUGCAUGCGUGACCGUUGGAGAAUACACUCCCUAAGUCGUACGGAGAUAAACUCUCUUUUCUAUACCUCUUCGCCUAAAAGUCUUAGACUAAUAAUCCGUAUCUUCACUCUUUUGAAGGUGCUACUUCACUGACGAAGUGUACGUGUACCGAACGGACUAUAUUAGUGCUGGAAGCGCACACUAGACCUCACCGGACUCUAUCAAGUCCCAGAACUUGUACCCGUUUUUCGUCAGCUGUCCUGACUAUAAUGGCAUGCCCACGUAGUCUACUUCGAAGAACUAAUGGACGUCUUUUAGUCGUGGCCCGUCCACAAGCCCUGACAGCAACGACAACAGGUGUGACACCUCAAGGUUUUCUCCCCAGACGGGGUACGUGCAUAGGAACAAACCGUCAUCUUGUCACGGGUCCCUAGAUUUGACUGGACUACAACUGCUACCAUGACGACGGUGACGUGAACGAUUCUGGUACCUUUGACGUGAACGAGUCGGUGGGUCUGAAUUUUACAUGCGGGAGAGAGACGUUACUUCGUUUUCUACGAAAAUGGACGGAUAGGUUUGACCUUUACGUGCGUACCUAGUAAUUUUUUAAUCGAUCCUUUGCGGCACGUCACCUAGAAGACUACGAUAUCGUUAAUAUCAAAACUAAGGAGACAAAGGAAUCAAACGGAACAAUCCAAAAAAGGGAUAAGUAUAUGUUAUACUUAUAUAUAGAGAGUAUAUGAGGAAAACGACUUUUGUAAGACUACGACGACGAUGAUGUUUCUGGCCAAGUAGUUUUUUUUUCAUCAACUAGGUACGAACCCCUAUUCGUACGCACACACCAACUAAACAUAUAUCUUCGAACUACGGAACUGGGAGCGAUGAAGGUGGGAGUGACGAUUCCCGCGGCAGGUGUUCUUGUUCACUUCUGACGACACAACGACGGCACAAAUGUUUACUCCAGAAACCGCGAGUAUCUCAGUACGGUUUGGAAACAACUACGUAAAGGGACAAAUUCUAGGCUUGAUUCGAUGAAAGUACAGAAUAUUUACGGUAGCAAACGGAAAACUUGCUACGAUACAACGAAAAGGUUGUGACGCGAAUACGGGGACGGAUAUAUUGGAGACCACUACAUGUAGGUAGAUAAUUAUAGGUACUACGGUGAGAAUAGAUAUCAAUAGAUAAAGGCG
rnacentral:rRNA from 1 species